AAUCUUCCGCAAUGGACGAAAGUCUGACGGAGCAAUGCCGCGUGAGUGAUGAAGGUUUUCGGAUCGUAAAACUCUGUUGUCAGUGACGAACAAGUAUCGUAGUAAUAUGUUGGUACAUUGACGGUACCUUACCAGAAAUCCCCGGCUCACUUUUUGCCAGCAGCCGCGGUAAUACGUAGGGGGCGAGCGUUGUCCGGAAUUAUUGGGCGUAAAGGGCGCGCAGGCGGUCUUCUAAGUCUGAUGUGAAAUCUCAUAGGUUAACUACGAGCGGUCAUUGGAAACUGGGAGACUUGAGUACAGAAGAGGAGAGUGGAAUUCCACGUGUAGCGGUGAAAUGCGUAGAUAUGUGGAGGAACACCAGUGGCGAAGGCGGCUCUCUGGUCUGUAACUGACGCUGAGGUGCGAAAGCGUGGGUAGCGAACA
rnacentral:rRNA from 1 species